CAGGCCUGCAAAGCUGUCUGUGUUCAGGCUGCUGAGGCUGAGGUGCCCGGGCUAAGCCCUGGGGAAGCCUCUUUCCUCUGCAGCUGCCCAGCUCUGUCCUUUCCACCUCUUGCACCUGACAGUGCCAAGGCUCUCACCAGGGAGGAGGCCCCAUGAGGAAGCCUGCAAAUGCAGAGAACAGGAAGGAACCUGUUGGUCGCCAUGCAUCAGGUUAAGGGCACAGGAAAGAAAUCAUGAUGACAAUCACAGUGAGGAUCAUUGUCCUCCAUUUUUGAUGGUUGCAAGAGAGAGCUCUUCCUCCCAAGUCACCUGAAGCCAAGUUGGCUGACCUCCAGGACAGGACUUUUCCACUGCGAUGACAAGAGCCUUCUCCUGGAAGAAGAGCAGCCUCCAGGUUGGAAGGGGGCGGAGAGGAGGAGAAGAAAUGUUCACCCGGAUCCUGAGACUCUCCCUGCCACGCUUAGCCCAGAACAAAUUAAACCAGGGGCUCCUCAGACAGAAGUUCUGUAAUGAGAAGCGAGAAACAAGCGAACUGCUGGGUUCUGGGCUGAGCCUGGGCCAACUGUUGGUAAUAAAACACCACAAGUGGAUGUGGAGGCUUUGGAACGAAAAUACCUUGUAGCUAUUAUUUUCAUGAGUCUCUGCCCAUCCACACGUUCUCUCUUCCAUUCUUUUAAUCUGGAGCUACUGCGAGUCGGUAUUUUCUCACCUUUGUAAUAUGAGAAACAAGUUAAUUAAAAUCAAUCCCAUGUCUAGUC